GAUGAAGAACGCAGCGAAAUGCGAUAAGUAGUGUGAAUUGCAGAAUUCCGUGAAUCAUCGAAUCUUUGAACGCACAUUGCGCCUCCUGGUUUUCCGGGAGGCAUGCCUGUUCGAGCGUCAUUAAAAUCACUCAAGCUUAGGUUUACCUAUUGCUUGGUCUUGGAGAUGGAAGCCAAUUUAUUGGAAUCCUCUUCGAAAUUCAAUGGCGAAGACCCUUGCUCUCCCAAGUGUAGUAAUAACUUAUGUCACUGAAGGAAGCGAGAAAUCUUCUGCCGUAACCCCCAUAUUUUCUAUGAUUGACCUCGGAUCAGGUAGGGAUACCCGCUGAACUUAAGCAUAUCAAUAAGCGGAGGA
rnacentral:misc_RNA from 1 species